CUAAAGUUCACAUAUGUGUUGGCUGGCUGGGAGGGGUCAGCGCAUGAUGCUAACUUUCUCAGUGACAGCAUGAGUCGACCUAAUGGGAUCAACAUCCCCGACGGCAAGUUCUACCUUGGAGGUGUUGGCUAUGCAUGUCGGCCAGGUGUUCUUCCACCCUUCAGGAAAACCAGGUACCAUCUCAAUGAGUUCUCUGGUAGGAACUAUCCUAGGACUGCACAAGAGCUGUUUAAUCUCAGACACUCCGGCCUUAGAGUAACUGUUGAGAGGGUAUUUGGAGCUCUGAAGAAUAGGUUUAAGAUCAUGGAUCAGAAGCCAUUCCACCCAUACUCCACUCGGGUUAAGCUUGUCCUUGCUUGUUGCAUUCUGCACAACUGGAUCCUCUAG
rnacentral:rRNA from 1 species